rnacentral:lncRNA from 1 species
UGUUCAUAAUUCUCUGUAUUUGCUGCUUUGUUGCCUGUAGGUCGAAGACCCCCACCCAGGGGCAUCCAUGGCUUCCCUUGCCCUUAUAUGGAAACUCCCAGACCAUGACGAAGAUGUCCACGACUUCUCAAAAGAGUGGAACAGCGAGCUGCAUCUCAUUAGCUUCCACCAAUCUUGGCCGGCUCUUCAUGUUCCAAGAAAUCAUGGAUGCAACAAACAAAUUCGAUGAGAGCCUGCUUCUUGGAGUUGGUGGUUUUGGUAGGGUCUACAAAGGAACACUUGAAGAUGGGACUAAAGUAGCUGUCAAAAGAGGAAACCCCAGAUCUGAACAAGGUCUUGCUGAAUUCCGAACUGAAAUUGAAAUGCUAUCCAAGCUCCGUCACCGCCACCUUGUCUCUCUUAUAGGCUAUUGUGAUGAACGAUCAGAGAUGAUUCUGGUUUAUGAGUACAUGGCUAAUGGUCCCCUAAGGAGCCAUCUUUAUGGAACAGAUCUACCGUCUCUCUCCUGGAAGCAACGACUUGAAAUUUGCAUUGGAGCUGCAAGGGGGCUUCAUUAUCUUCACACAGGUGCAGCUCAGAGCAUAAUUCACCGUGAUGUGAAGACAACAAACAUUCUCUUGGAUGAGAAUUUUGUAGCAAAAGUUGCUGAUUUUGGCCUCUCAAAGACUGGUCCUGCCCUGGAUCAGACCCAUGUAAGCACUGCUGUUAAGGGUAGUUUUGGGUACCUUGAUCCUGAAUACUUUAGAAGGCAGCAGCUCACAGAAAAAUCUGAUGUGUAUUCAUUUGGUGUGGUCCUAAUGGAAGUCCUCUGCACCAGACCAGCUUUAAACCCUGUUCUACCAAGGGAGCAGGUUAAUAUAGCAGAAUGGGCAAUGAGCUGGCAAAAGAAGGGUAUGCUGGAUCAAAUCAUGGAUCCAAAUCUGGUUGGGAAGGUGAAUCCAGCUUCUCUUAAGAAGUUCGGAGAGACAGCUGAGAAGUGCUUGGCUGAG